AUAGAUUUGUAUUUAUCGGAGGAACUCACACGGGAGACAAAUCACGUCGGUAGUGCAAUGAAGGAGGAGGAACUCGGAAGAAUUAUUAGAGAAAGGGGUAAUUCUAUCUUUACUGAUAUAAGUAGGGGAAUAAGUGUAAUUUCACAUAAGGGAAGCAUUUUGUUAUGAGAUAAACACUUUUCCGUUUCCGCAAAAUACGUGUGCGAUUCCGUGCAAUUCUGUUAUUCUGUUUUUCUUCCAUCUCCUUCUUGCUCAUCUUCUCCAUCAAUAUGAUAUUUUUGGGUAUGUUUUCUUAUUUCUUAUUUUAAUUUUAAAUUUGUGGCACUUUUAAAAUUAUUUAUUUGUGAUGCAUUAGUACAGUUUAGAACUUUUAAUUGCUCGGCUCUUGCUAUUUGAAAGAGUGAGUUAUCAUGUUCAUUAGGACAUUUAUUGGUUGCAAGUUAUGCUUUUUCUGAUCAUGUUCAUUAGGAUUUAUUGGUUGCAGGUUAUGUGUUUGAUCAAAUGUCAAUAUGAUAUUUUUGGCAUUUUAAUAGAUUUGUAUUUAGAGGAGGAACUCACACGGGAGACAAAUCACGUCGGUAGUGCAAUGAAGGAGGAGGAACUCACAAGAAUGAGGUUAUGUGUUUGAUCAAAUGUCAAUAUGAUAUUUUUGGCAUUUUAAUAGAUUUGUAUUUAUCGGAGGAACUCACACGGGAGACAAAUCACGUCGGUAGUGCAAUGAAGGAGGAGGAACUCGGAAGAAUUAUUAGAGAAAGGGGUAAUUCUGUCUUUACUGAUAUAAGUAGGGGAAUAAGUGUAAUUUCACAUAAGGGAAGCAUUUUGUUAUGAGAUAAACACUUUUCCGUUUCCGCAAAAUACGUGUGCGAUUCCGUGCAAUUCUGUUAUUCUGUUUUUCUUCCAUCUCCUUCUUGCUCAUCUUCUCCAUCAAUAUGAUAUUUUUGGGUAUGUUUUCUUAUUUCUUAUUUUAAUUUUAAAUUUGUGGCACUUUUAAAAUUAUUUAUUUGUGAUGCAUUAGUACAGUUUAGAACUUUUAAUUGCUCGGCUCUUGCUAUUUUAAAGAGUGAGUUAUCAUGUUCAUUAGGACAUUUAUUGGUUGCAAGUUAUGCUUUUUCUGAUCAUGUUCAUUAGGAUUUAUUGGUUGCAGGUUAUGUGUUUGAUCAAAUGUCAAUAUGAUAUUUUUGGGUAUGUUUUCUUAUUUCUUAUUUUAAUUUUAAAUUUGUGGCACUUUUAAAAUUAUUUAUUUGUGAUGCAUUAGUACAGUUUAGAACUUUUAAUUGCUCGGCUCUUGCUUUUUGAAAGAGUGAGUUAUCAUGUUCAUUAGGACAUUUAUUGGUUGCAAGUUAUGCAUUUUCUGAUCAUGUUCAUUGGGAUAUUUAUUGGUUGUAGGUUAUGUGUUUGAUCAAAUGUGAAGAUGAUAUUUUUGGAUAUAUUUUCAUAUUUCUUAUUUUAAUUCUAAAUUUGUGUCACUUUUAAAAUUAUUUAUUUUUCACAUGGGAUAUAUUUUCAUUCCAGCAUUUUAAUAGAUUUGUAUUUAGAGGAGGAACUCACACGGGAGACAAAUCACGUCGGUAGUGCAAUGAAGGAGGAGGAACUCACAAGAAUGAGGUUAUGUGUUUGAUCAAAUGUCAAUAUGAUAUUUUUGGCAUUUUAAUAGAUUUGUAUUUAUCGGAGGAACUCACACGGGAGACAAAUCACGUCGGUAGUGCAAUGAAGGAGGAGGAACUCGGAAGAAUUAUUAGAGAAAGGGGUAAUUCUGUCUUUACUGAUAUAAGUAGGGGAAUAAGUGUAAUUUCACAUAAGGGAAGCAUUUUGUUAUGAGAUAAACACUUUUCCGUUUCCGCAAAAUACGUGUGCGAUUCCGUGCAAUUCUGUUAUUCUGUUUUUCUUCCAUCUCCUUCUUGCUCAUCUUCUCCAUCAAUAUGAUAUUUUUGGGUAUGUUUUCUUAUUUCUUAUUUUAAUUUUAAAUUUGUGGCACUUUUAAAAUUAUUUAUUUGUGAUGCAUUAGUACAGUUUAGAACUUUUAAUUG